GUCAGCGCGCAUCACUCUACCCCACGUCCCUCUGGGGUGUGCCAGGCAUGGCCGGGCCCGGCGGGAGAGGGGACCGAGAGGGACCCAGCCAGUCGUUAUGGUGAUUGUUCCUCCAGGAAUUCUGCGCGUCCGUCUGCUCUUCCAGAGAUAACAGUGUGGGAUGAUGACUCACAACGCGCUGGCUUGAUCUUUUUUCUAACUCCUCCCUUCUUUUGUGUGUGGUUGAAAAAAAAAAAAAAAAAAGAAAGAAAAGAAAGAAAGAAACACACACACAGAGCCCACAGUCGAAACACCAACAAGACCAGAAGCCCCGCGGAGUUCGCAGGAGCCGGAUCGCCAGGCCACCCGCCAGGAACUCCCAUCUCAGCAGACUGCUCUGCUGCCUCAGCAAGGAGAGAGGAGCCUCUUCCACUUUCCACCGCCAAACGGACAAACCUUCCAGCGCGGAUUCCACCCUUCAUUCCCCGCUUCCAACANNNNNNNNNNNNCCCCCCCCUCCCCCCCCCCCCCCCCCCCCCCCCGUAUGACACAGUCCCAUCCAGUCUGACAUCAAUCCCUCCCUCCUGACUGGACCCCUGUCAUCAGCGUUUAAUCAGUCCCAAGCCUUCCUCUGCCCCUCGCCCUACCCUUCCAGCUGCCACCCUGUUCCCUCUCCUCCUCUCCAUAACUGAAGUUAAAAGAGCUGCCGGUCCCCAUGCCCCGCUCCCUUUCUAGUCUUUAAGCUCCGAGCCACUUCUUGGUUUCCACAUUCCACUGAAACUGCCUUUUUCCUAUAGUCACCCACAAUCGCUAAGUCCAAAGGACACUCUCCUGUCUCAUUUUACUUGAUCUCUCAGCAGUAUUCUUCCUCAAACACACCUCUUUUGGUAAUAGUGGUGUGCUGCUCCCUUGUUUUCCCCAGUCUCCUUACUUUGCUCAUCUGCUGCUUGAUGACCUCCAAAGGGCAUGUUUUUAAGGUCUCAGUCUUUUCAUGCUACAAUUUUUCCCUGUAUGAUUUAAUCCACUGCCAACAUUUCAAUCAAUAUAUCCCACAUUGAUACAGCUCCAGCCCUUACUUAUCUGAGCUUCAAACCCAUUUAUCUAGCUUCCACCUGGCUGUGUCACUGGCACCGAGGAUGGAAGACAUCCCAAAUGGAAUGCGUGCUCUCACUGCUUUCUCCCCCUCAGGUCUCCCUGUAAUAAGUGAUAUGAUUGUAAUACUACCACCUGCCCAGUAUUUCCCAAACCCUUGGCAUCUAACAAAUCACCAAGGUUUUACUUGCUAAAUGUCUAUCAAAUCUGUCCACUUCUUUCCAUUUCCAUUGCCAAAAGGAAAUAGCAUGCUGCUGUGCAUGGGUCUUCCUAACCUACCUUCCGUGAUGUCACAUCGGCAGAUUGCAGUCGGCCAUGGUGAGGAUAUCUACACCAUAGAAAUUGGCAAACGCUAUGAAUCAGAGCUUAGUUUGUUGUUUUGCUGAUUGUCUCUAGACGUAAGAAAGUGAUGGGAAAAAAAAACGUUAAUAAUGCAGAUUAAACUUUAAAAUGUGCUGUGCUUAGUAUUGAAGCUAAAAGAUUGUAGUUUAAUGGGUUUAUUUAUACAGGGUAAAAAACAGCUUAGCAGAUCACAUAUCAGAUUUAGUGAUAAUAACUAUUGAGAAAAGAGCAGAUUGAGAUACAAUCCUUUUGUGAAAUCGCAGUUGAAUUACAAGCAUCGGUUGGAUACAGAUACAAGCCUUCAGCAAAAAAUCAACAAACACGUUCUGUAGAAUGCCCCAGUGAUGCUGCAUGACCUGGCCCCUUGCCUACUGCUCCCAAAUUGUCUCAUGUGCCUGUCGCCUGUUUCCUGAAUUCAGCUCCAUUGAGCUUUUAUAGUCCUACAGUGUGCUAUGUUCCUUUCCAUCGUGGGCUGGUCACACACUCUGCAGCACUCUCUCCUGCUCUCCUUGACAUUCAGCUAACUAAUUCAUCCUUCAGGUCACUGCUCAAAUGUCAAUUUCUCAGAAAAGCCUUCCCUGAAUUAUCUCCCCAAACACCCUUAAGUCCCUCUGUAUAUGCUCUCGUUGUUCUCUCUCUCUCUCUUUUUUAAAGAUUUUAUUUAUUUAUUCAUGAGAGACACACAGAGAGAGGCAGAGCCAUAGACAGAGGGAGAAGCAGGCUCCCUGCGGGGAGCCUGAUGUGGAACUUGAUCUCAGGACCCCAGGACCAUGACCUGAGCCAAAGGUGGAUGCUUGACCACUUAGCCACCCAGGCGCCCCUGUGCUCUCAUUGUUCUUAUCACAAGUAUAACUACCCAUGUGAUUCUUGUACAAAAUCUAGCUCCAUCAUUAGACUCUGAAUGCCAUGGAGGUAAGGGACAUGGCUGUCUUAAAUACUGUACCGCUGCAGGUGCUGUGCCUCCCACAGAGCAGGCACUUGACAAUGUCUCUUCAAAAGAAGUACAUUUCUGAAAGUCAUACUGCAUUGUUAUUGGCGAUGCUAGAGUUAGAAUUGGAAUCUCCUGACUUAAUCCAAUGGAAUUCUAUUCCAUAAAUUGCUGAGCCAGCCAUGAUUAAAGUGUUACCAUAUUAUGUGCCAAGGAUGGGGCAGGCUCUGUGAAUAUUAAAGUGAACAAAGUGCUGAUUCCACCUUUCACAGUCCUGUGGUUUAUUAAGAAGUAUAAAAUGCAGGGGCAGGAUGAGCCCUGGGUGUUAUUUUGUAUGUUGGCAAAUUGAACACCAAUAAAAAAUAAAUUUAUUAUUAAAAAAAUAAUAAA
rnacentral:lncRNA from 1 species